CAUUGUCAGCAGCUGCUUUAAGCCUAUUUGGUAGGCAAGAUUUCUCUUAUUCGUUUAUUACUGAACUACUUAAUGCAUGUGUAAUGUGUGCCAGGCACCAUUUGGUGACAAUGGACAAGAAAGGCAGUCAGCUUGUGCCUUUGUGUAGCAUAAGCCCAAUGUGUAAGGCAGAAAACGAACAAACAGUUUAAGAGGAUGGUAUUGCAGAUGGGGAAGAGCUGGGGCCUAUGUGGGCAUACAACAUGAUAGCUAAACAGAUCUGAUAAAGAAGAUGAGAUGGCACACAACUUUGAUGUGCUGGUUGAUGAGGCAUAGAUGUGUGAGGAGAAACAGUCUCUUCAGUUUUAGAAGAAGCCAUUGAUCCUAUGACUCAUCAUCUUUGUUAAUACAAGAUGGGGGAGGUUUGUUCCAUUGAUUAUGGUGAUUGACUGAAUUUAGUUUGCCUUGAUACAGCUGUGUGCCUUGCCUCCAACAUCUGCUGUUUUGAAUCUCCUGUAUCACUUGAGAGUUACCAGCUUAUUCAUUUAGCAAAAUAUGUCUGUCAGAGGAAAGUGGAGGAGGAGCCCUCAUGUCCCAGACCUCAGAAAGUCCUUUGAACAGUGUCUGAAAUGAUACCUGGUGAAUGGAUGGCCUCAAGUAGAUCAUAUCUGCCCUAUAAAUGGGAGUUUGCUUUGUUCAGCUCCUGGUCCCCAUGACCUUAGGGCUGGAAAGGACCUCUGUAAAAUGGAAACAUU
rnacentral:lncRNA from 1 species